CCGGCUUGCGGAAGGGACUUCUGGGGAAGUGGGCGGGUGGAGACGCGACGAGGUCAUGAAUUAUGCAUCAAGGGGUCAGAAGACAGAACGAGGGACUCACGUAUCUUGCAAAGGCUUUAUUUGAAAAUUUUGAAACUUACAUCCCACAAGAAUUCAAGAUUAUCACCACAAGAAGAAAGAGAUAAUACAAAAAUAUAUAUCACAGCAUAGGAGCCAGACCUCUGCCCCUCCUCCCUCCCGGCUUCCAGCCUGAGCGCCAGACACGCGGUCCCCCAGCACCCUCCUCUCCCAGCUUACCAGAACUUGAAGAUGAUGCCCGUGGCCACAAGAACAAUGAUGAUGGAGAUGCUCCUCCAGUGGACCUGACCUCGAGGGCCCAGGGCAGCUCCGUCUCUGCAUCCCGGGGCCAGACUAGGACCUGACAUCUGUCGAGAAGCUAACAGGCGACGCUUGGCUUCUGCCCCUUAGUCUUCGGCCAGCCUCCCAACCCCCAUAUCCCCACCAGC